CAGGCUCCCUCAGAGUAGUUCUGCAUGCCACUGUGGAAUAAAUGGUGAAUAUUAAAUUAAAUCCUUUGUUGUGUAUGAACUGCACUACACAACAUGAGGAAGAAAGCAGUAGUGAAGAUGUUUAUAGUUAGCACCAGUACAUAAAUCUAAGAGCUUUGUGCAAGGGAAGAAAAGUAGAUCCAAAUCUAAAGAGUGUUGUGAGAAUGGCCAUAAAGAAUUGCAGAAGGAUAGGUAGAAAGAGCUCCUCAUUUGGUGGGCUGACUGAAAUCAAUGAAGCCAUGGCUGCAGACAUCAUCUGAGGCCCUGGCCUGUAGGAUCCCUUCUUUGCAUGAGGAACAUGUUAUAAAUCCUGUGGUAGAUUUGUUUGUUUGUUUUCUGGUAUCUGAUUAAAGUAG